AACGCUAGCUACAGGCUUAACACAUGCAAGUCGAGGGGAAACGACAUCGAAAGCUUGCUUUUGAUGGGCGUCGACCGGCGCACGGGUGAGUAACGCGUAUCCAACCUGCCCACCACUUGGGGAUAACCUUGCGAAAGUAAGACUAAUACCCAAUGAUAUCUCUAGAAGACAUCUGAAAGAGAUUAAAGAUUUAUCGGUGAUGGAUGGGGAUGCGUCUGAUUAGCUUGUUGGCGGGGUAACGGCCCACCAAGGCAACGAUCAGUAGGGGUUCUGAGAGGAAGGUCCCCCACAUUGGAACUGAGACACGGUCCAAACUCCUACGGGAGGCAGCAGUGAGGAAUAUUGGUCAAUGGACGAGAGUCUGAACCAGCCAAGUAGCGUGCAGGAAGACGGCCCUAUGGGUUGUAAACUGCUUUUAUAAGGGAAUAAAGUGAGUCUCGUGAGACUUUUUGCAUGUACCUUAUGAAUAAGGACCGGCUAAUUCCGUGCCAGCAGCCGCGGUAAUACGGAAGGUCCGGGCGUUAUCCGGAUUUAUUGGGUUUAAAGGGAGCGUAGGCCGGAGAUUAAGCGUGUUGUGAAAGUUUGCGGCUCAACCGUAAAAUUGCAGUUGAUACUGGGUGUCUUGAGUACAGUAGAGGCAGGCGGAAUUCGUGGUGUAGCGGUGAAAUGCUUAGAUAUCACGAAGAACUCCGAUUG
rnacentral:rRNA from 1 species